rnacentral:tRNA from 1 species
GAUCGCCUGGGUCGACGACUACGGCCGGCUCAAGGUCGGCCCGCAGAGUGCCGGCUCCGAUCCGGGGCCGAUCU